AGUGAACGCUGGCGGUAGGCCUAACACAUGCAAGUCGAACGGCAGCACAGUAAGAGCUUGCUCUUACGGGUGGCGAGUGGCGGACGGGUGAGGAAUACAUCGGAAUCUACUUUUUCGUGGGGGAUAACGUAGGGAAACUUACGCUAAUACCGCAUACGACCUACGGGUGAAAGCAGGGGAUCUUCGGACCUUGCGCGAUUGAAUGAGCCGAUGUCGGAUUAGCUAGUUGGCGGGGUAAAGGCCCACCAAGGCGACGAUCCGUAGCUGGUCUGAGAGGAUGAUCAGCCACACUGGAACUGAGACACGGUCCAGACUACUACGGGAGGCAGCAGUGGGGAAUAUUGGACAAUGGGCGGAAGCCUGAUCCAGCCAUACGGCGUGGGUGAAGAAGACCUUCGGGUUGUAAAGCCCUUUUGUUGGGAAAGAAAAGCAGCAGGUUAAUACCCCGCUGUUCUGACGGUACCCAAAGAAUAAGCACCGGCUAACUUCGUG
rnacentral:rRNA from 1 species